AUUGAACGCUGGCGGCAUGCUUUACACAUGCAAGUCGAACGGUAACAGGCCUUCGGGUGCUGACGAGUGGCGAACGGGUGAGUAAUGCAUCGGAACGUGCCCAAUCGUGGGGGAUAACGUAGCGAAAGUUACGCUAAUACCGCAUAAGCCCUGAGGGGGAAAGCAGGGGAUCGCAAGACCUUGCGCGAAUGGAGCGGCCGAUGUCAGAUUAGCUAGUUGGUGGGGUAAAGGCCUACCAAGGCGACGAUCUGUAGCGGGUCUGAGAGGAUGAUCCGCCACACUGGGACUGAGACACGGCCCAGACUCCUACGGGAGGCAGCAGUGGGGAAUUUUGGACAAUGGGCGCAAGCCUGAUCCAGCCAUGCCGCGUGCGGGACGAGGGCCUUCGGGUUGUAAACC
rnacentral:rRNA from 1 species